UAUUAAUAUAAUAAUUUGAAUUUAUCUUCUCCAAAAAAUAACAUAUAAGAGUGAAGAACGAAUCCAUUCAAAGUGUUAUAUCCUUCCGUUGUCAGCUCCUAACGGAUACCUAAAUCAAAAUGUCAAUUCAAAAUUAGCUUCUUCUUCUUCUUCAUUCGUUCUCUUCAAGAACAGGGGUGAUUAAAAGGCGUACGUCUGUGGCCAAGAGACAAGCAAUUUCAUCAGGGUUACAGAAUAAUCAGAUCGGAAAAUUGAAUGCCCCGACAAACGACCGGUGAUGAUAUGGACAUUGAGAGACUUACGCACGAUGGAGCAACCACUAUGGGAAGAGAUAUCUUCAAAUUUACUUUCUAUUGGAGUAGAUUGAAGUCCUGGACAGUGUAAAUCUCUCUGGGCUCCUUUGGGUCAAAAGUAUGAGAAAAUAUAUGAUGUACUUGUGGACUUGGAAUCAACAGAUAAAGAUUGUCAACAUUGAUACAAAUACUUGCAAGGAAAAAGGAAAGGCUUUCGACAUAUUCCAUUCAUCGGGCAUGCGCACUAUAUAAUUUGACUAGCAUGUUGAGGUAAACUUCUAAUAUC